rnacentral:misc_RNA from 1 species
GAUGAAGAACGUAGUGAAAUGCGAUAAGUAAUGUGAAUUGCAGAAUUCAGUGAAUCAUCGAAUCUUUGAACGCACAUUGCGCCCCCUGGUAUUCCGGGGGGCAUGCCUGUUCGAGCGUCAUUACAACCCUCAAGCUCUGCUUGGUAUUGGGCCCCGCCAGUUCUGGCGGGCCCUAAAGUCAGUGGCGGUGCCUUCCGGCUCCGAGCGUAGUAAUUCUUCUCGCUCUGGAGACCCGGUUGUGUGCUUGCCAACAACCCCCAAUUUUUUAAGGUUGACCUCGGAUCAGGUAGGGAUACCCGCUGAACUUAAGCAUAUCAAUGAGCGGAGGA